rnacentral:rRNA from 1 species
GGUGGUGCAUGGCUGUCGUCAGCUCGUGUCGUGAGAUGUUGGGUUAAGUCCCGCAACGAGCGCAACCCUUGUCCUGUGUUGCCAGCAUGCCCUUCGGGGUGAUGGGGACUCACAGGAGACCGCCGGGGUCAACUCGGAGGAAGGUGGGGACGACGUCAAGUCAUCAUGCCCCUUAUGUCUUGGGCUGCACACGUGCUACAAUGGCAGGUACAAUGAGCUGCGAAACCGUGAGGUGGACCGAAUCUCAAAAAGCCUGUCUCAUUUCGGAUUGGGGUCUGCAACUCGACCCCAUGAAGUCGGAGUUGCUAGUAAUCGCAAAUCAGCAUUGCUGCGGUGAAUACGUUCCCGGGCCUUGUAC